ensembl:lncRNA
GGAGCGAGAGAGCGAGAGGGGCCCUGCGCGGUCCCCCCAAGGACACUGCCCUCCCCUCCCCCGUGGAACCCCCGUGGGGUGGGGCUGUGGGAUUGGGAUUGGGAUGAGGGAUGUGGGAUGGGCCGUGGGUUUGGGACAGGCUCGGGUCCCCCAGCGCCACAGCGCUGCUGCCAGCAUCUGAACCGUGCCCCCCCCCCACCAACCCUUCCAGCGCUGCUCCCGGUGCCCCCAGACCCAUUGCAGCCCCCCAGAACCGAAGCGAAGGUGGGCCUGUGGCUACUGGGAGGUGCGGGGAGGCUAUAGGGGGAUAUAGGGCUGCUGUAGGGGGCUGUGCAGGGACUGUUAAGGCGUAUGGGUCUAUAAGGAGCUGAGGGGUACUCUAGGGGGGAUCUGGGGCUGUGGUGAGCCAUCGGAGGAUUUGGGGCUAUAGGUGGCUGUGGGGAGGUUAUGGGCGGGGGGGUAUAUAGUCAGGCUGCCCAGGGAGGCUGUGGAUUGUCCUUCUCUGGAGAUCCUCCAAACCCAGCUGGAUGCCUACAGUACAGCCUGCUGUAUGGAGCCUGUUUUGCAGAGGGGGGAGGGGUUGGACUCAAUGAUCUCUAGAUGUCCCUUCCAGCCCCUACAGUUCUGUGUUUCUGUGAUUGUAAUCGUUGCUUCUUGCAGCAGUAGAGUGUUUCAGAAGAGAGAAAAAGAUGGUGGCAAUGAACUGGCUUUCUGUGGCUGGUAAAGCUGUGCUGAGAACUGGGCUGACUAUUGCAACUGAAAAUGCGUGCCAAGUCUGCAGACGCAGAGGAAUAACUAUUCCGUGUUGGUUGAGCUUGUCUAAGGUAGGUGUCCUUGCUAGGUGAGCUUCUGCUUGAAAGCAUCAAGUUGUAAUUCUAAAAGCAAGGUUGCCAGUUCUUUUUUUACCCAAGUGAUUUUUUAGCCGGGAGAGAUUGGAGUUGCUGUUUGGUAAUGGAAGAUGAAGGGAGGAAAAGCAAGUAAAAGACAUGCUAUGCAUAGCCACCACAUGCCAUGGGCACCGUUGUCCCCCUGCACAAAGGAGGAGCAUCUCAGCAAGCUUGGCCUGGGCCGUGGAAGGGAUCAUACAAACAUCUGGACCAACGCGACAGGAGUUAGUUCUGCAGGUUGGUUGUUUUCUGCUGUUUGUCCCACGUCCUGUUGCUCAGUGGUAGAUUUGUUGGUGUUCGGUGCUAGCAGGAAUGUCCCAGAGCAUUUUGGUUUCAGCUGUCGCAAUGCUUUGAUCCCCUGCUGCUGGGCUGGGGCGUUUGAGGAAUGAUGCCCGUGCUGAUGUCCAUCCAGGCUUUGGGGAUGAGUCUGCGUAGCAGGGUAUGUGUGGCAGGACUGAGGCUUGGGGAGCAGGCCAGGUGGAAUCCAGUGUGCUUUGCUGUCGUUCUCAGUGGUUGUUUUUGCUCAGGAGGGCAGGUGGUGAAGCUCAUGAAGCAAUGCCUGCAGAUGGGGUUUGCAGAGCAAGAGGUCCGUCCUGCAGGCCUUGUGUGACACGCAUGGAGCUGUAGCGAGGCUGCAUCAGUGUAAAACAGCAGAAAUGCACGGAGGUGUGAAGUGAUAACCGUGGAAGCAUACAAGCGUUACCCAGACAAAAUGAGCGUUUGUCACCUGGGCUUUCUACAAAUGACAUAGGCAGGGGAAGUCAGCAUGGGAAGCAUCCGUGAGAGCCCUGCAAAAGAAUGAUGAGAGUUCCCCUGGUGGCCUCCUUUGGCAAUCUCAGGUCUCUGUAAGCUCUCAAGCUGUGUCGUAAGUCCUCCCAUGGUGCUGACUCAGCUCUCCCUGUCUUUGGUGCUGGAGAGCUGGACUUCAACUCCUUCCUGUUUUCCUGCCUAUCUGCUCCCUGCUUUGCCCAUGGCCCAAGGAGCCUUUUAUUC